rnacentral:rRNA from 1 species
UACAGAGGGGGCAAGCGUUGUUCGGAAUUAUUGGGCGUAAAGAGCUCGUAGGCGGUUUGUCGCGUCGAAUGUGAAAACCCGGGGCUCAACCCCGGGCCUGCAUUCGAUACGGGCAGACUAGAGUUCGGUAGGGGAGACUGGAAUUCCUGGUGUAGCGGUGAAAUGCGCAGAUAUCAGGAGGAACACCGAUGGCGAAGGCAGGUCUCUGGGCCACUACUGACGCUGAGAAGCGAAAGCAUGGGGAGCGAACAGG